CCCUUAGAUGUUCUGGGCGGCCCGCGAACUACAUUGGCACUCUCAAUAAGUUCCUAGAUCUAAAACUUUGGGGUAUUCUAUUAAGUGGUGUCGUGACUGGGAUUAACCCUUGCAAUUAUUGGUUACGAACGAGGAAUUCCUUGUAAUCGCGGUUUAUCAGCCCGCGUUGAAUGCGUCCCUGCCCUUUGUACACACCGCCCGUCGCUCCUACCGAUGAAUCGUCCGGUGAAGUUCAUGGAGUGGUGGUUGUUCCAGCUGCUGUCGAAGUGAAAUGGACCUCACGAUUUAGAGGAAGGAGAAGUCGUAACA
rnacentral:rRNA from 1 species